rnacentral:tRNA from 1 species
GGGAGUACAGCUCAGUGGCAGAGUGCAUGCCUCACAGGCAGGAGGUCCUGGGUUCAAUCCUCAGUACGUCCA